rnacentral:rRNA from 1 species
GUCCACGCCGUAAACGAUGGAUGCUAGGUGUUGGGGGUAUUGACCCCUCCAGCGCCGCAGUUAACGCAUUAAGCAUCCCGCCUGGGGAGUACGGCCGCAAGGCUAAAACUCAAAGGAAUUGACGGGGGCCCCGCACAAGCGGUGGAGCAUGUGGUUUAAUUCGACGCAACGCGCAGAACCUUACCUGGGUUAAAUCCGCCGGAACCUUGCAGAGAUGUGAGGGUGCUCUUCGGAGAAUCGGCGAGAAGGUGCUGCAUGGCUGUCGU